CCUACGGGCGGCAGCAGUGAGGAAUAUUGGUCAAUGGACGAGAGUCUGAACCAGCCAAGUAGCGUGAAGGAUGACUGCCCUAUGGGUUGUAAACUUCUUUUAUAUGGGAAUAAAAUGUUCCACGUGUGGGAUUUUGUAUGUACCAUAUGAAUAAGGAUCGGCUAACUCCGUGCCAGCAGCCGCGGUAAUACGGAGGAUCCGAGCGUUAUCCGGAUUUAUUGGGUUUAAAGGGAGCGUAGGUGGAUUGUUAAGUCAGUUGUGAAAGUUUGCGGCUCAACCGUAAAAUUGCAGUUGAAACUGGCAGUCUUGAGUACAGUUGAGGUAGGCGGAAUUCGUGGUGUAGCGGUGAAAUGCUUAGAUAUCACGAAGAACUCCGAUUGCGAAGGCAGUUCACUGGACUGCAACUGACACUGAGGCUCGAAAGUGUGGGUAUCAAACAGGAUUAGAUACCCUUGUAGUC
rnacentral:rRNA from 1 species